ACGGAGGGGGCUAGCGUUGUUCGGAAUCACUGGGCGUAAAGCGCGCGUAGGCGGAUUGAUUAGUUGGGGGUGAAAUCCCGGGGCUUAACCCCGGAACUGCCUUCAAUACUGUCAGUCUUGAGUUCGUGAGAGGUAAGCGGAAUUCCGAGUGUAGAGGUGAAAUUCGUAGAUAUUCGGAAGAACACCAGUGGCGAAGGCGGCUUACUGGCACGAUACUGACGCUAAGGCGCGAAAGCGUGGGGAGCAAACAGG
rnacentral:rRNA from 1 species